GUGAGUAAUGCCUAGGAAAUUGCCCUGAUGUGGGGGAUAACCAUUGGAAACGAUGGCUAAUACCGCAUAACGCCUACGGGCCAAAGAGGGGGACCUUCGGGCCUCUCGCGUCAGGAUAUGCCUAGGUGGGAUUAGCUAGUUGGUGAGGUAAGGGCUCACCAAGGCGACGAUCCCUAGCUGGUCUGAGAGGAUGAUCAGCCACACUGGAACUGAGACACGGUCCAGACUCCUACGGGAGGCAGCAGUGGGGAAUAUUGCACAAUGGGCGCAAGCCUGAUGCAGCCAUGCCGCGUGUGUGAAGAAGGCCUUCGGGUUGUAAACCACUUUCAGUCAUGAGGAAGGUAAUG
rnacentral:rRNA from 1 species